UACGGAGGGUGCAAGCGUUAAUCGGAAUUACUGGGCGUAAAGCGCACGUAGGUGGUUUGCUAAGUCAGCUGUGAAAUCCCCGGGCUUAACCUGGGCACUGCAGUUGAAACUGGCAAGCUAGAGUAGGGUAGAGGGGUGUGGAAUUCCAGGUGUAGCGGUGAAAUGCGUAGAUAUCUGGAGGAACAUCAGUGGCGAAGGCGCUCUGCUGGACCAUAACUGACACUCAGGGACGAAAGCUAGGGGAGCGAAUGGG
rnacentral:rRNA from 1 species